AUUGAACGCUGGCGGCAGGCCUAACACAUGCAAGUCGAGCGGAUGAGAAGAGCUUGCUCUUCGAUUCAGCGGCGGACGGGUGAGUAAUGCCUAGGAAUCUGCCUGGUAGUGGGGGACAACGUUUCGAAAGGAACGCUAAUACCGCAUACGUCCUACGGGAGAAAGCAGGGGACCUUCGGGCCUUGCGCUAUCAGAUGAGCCUAGGUCGGAUUAGCUAGUUGGUGAGGUAAUGGCUCACCAAGGCGACGAUCCGUAACUGGUCUGAGAGGAUGAUCAGUCACACUGGAACUGAGACACGGUCCAGACUCCUACGGGAGGCAGCAGUGGGGAAUAUUGGACAAUGGGCGAAAGCCUGAUCCAGCCAUGCCGCGUGUGUGAAGAAGGUCUUCGGAUUGUAAAGCACUUUAAGUUGGGAGGAAGGGCAUUAACCUAAUACGUUAGUGUUUUGACGUUACCGACAGAAUAAGCACCGGCUAACUCUGUGCCAGCAGCCGCGGUAAUACAGAGGGUGCAAGCGUUAAUCGGAAUUACUGGGCGUAAAGCGCGCGUAGGUGGUUUGUUAAGUUGGAUGUGAAAGCCCCGGGCUCAACCUGGGAACUGCAUCCAAAACUGGCAAGCUAGAGUACGGUAGAGGGUGGUGGAAUUUCCUGUGUAGCGGUGAAAUGCGUAGAUAUAGGAAGGACCCCCGUUGGCGAAGGCGACCACCUGGACUGAUACUGACACUGAGGUGCGAAAGCGUGGGGAGCAACCAGGAUUAGAUACCCUGGUAGUCCACGCCGUAAACGAUGUCAACUAGCCGUUGGAAUCCUUGAGAUUUUAGUGGCGCAGCUAACGCAUUAAGUUGACCGCCUGGGGAGUACGGCCGCAAGGUUAAAACUCAAAUGAAUUGACGGGGGCCCGCACAAGCGGUGGAGCAUGUGGUUUAAUUCGAAGCAACGCGAAGAACCUUACCAGGCCUUGACAUGCAGAGAACUUUCCAGAGAUGGAUUGGUGCCUUCGGGAACUCUGACACAGGUGCUGCAUGGCUGUCGUCAGCUCGUGUCGUGAGAUGUUGGGUUAAGUCCCGUAACGAGCGCAACCCUUGUCCUUAGUUACCAGCACGUAAUGGUGGGCACUCUAAGGAGACUGCCGGUGACAAACCGGAGGAAGGUGGGGAUGACGUCAAGUCAUCAUGGCCCUUACGGCCUGGGCUACACACGUGCUACAAUGGUCGGUACAGAGGGUUGCCAAGCCGCGAGGUGGAGCUAAUCUCACAAAACCGAUCGUAGUCCGGAUCGCAGUCUGCAACUCGACUGCGUGAAGUCGGAAUCGUUAGUAAUCGCGAAUCAGAAUGUCGCGGUGAAUACGUUCCCGGGCCU
rnacentral:rRNA from 1 species